rnacentral:rRNA from 1 species
UACGUAGGGUGCAAGCGUUAAUCGGAAUUACUGGGCGUAAAGCGCACGUAGGCAGCUUGUUAAGUCGGAUGUGAAAGCCCCGGGCUCAACCUGGGAAUGGCAUCCGAUACUGGCAAGCUAGAGUACAAGAGAGGGUGGUAGAAUUUCUAGUGUAGCGGUGAAAUGCGUAGAUAUUAGAAGGAAUACCGGUGGCGAAGGCGGCCACCUGGCUUGAUACUGACGCUGAGGUGCGAAAGCGUGGGGAGCAAACAGG